rnacentral:misc_RNA from 1 species
AAAAAGGGACGCUUUCCUUGUUCCAAACGACGCCGCAAGGAUAAGUCUUGGCCUUGCCUACGAGCACACAAAACGGGGGACCCAAUCCAACAACGGCUCUCAUCAUUCAAAAAGAUGCACACGUGCACUGGCGCUUAUUUUAAAAAGCUGAGCCAGUUAAUCCCAAUCAUAACAAAACACACUUAGAGUAUUAUUAGCAUUAAACUAUUAAUAAUCUGAGCUGUAAUCACUUA